GUAAAAAUUAAAUAUUAUUCUCGUAUAAUAUUGGGGAUAUGGCCCGAAAGUUUCUACCAAGCUACCGUAAAUGGCUUGACUACGAGGUGUGUAUAUAAAUAU
rnacentral:ncRNA from 2 species